ensembl:lncRNA
UUUACUGGGUUCUCAAAAAAUGCUCAGCAUUGGGAGCACAGAAGCUUCCAGUCCAGGGAACUGCCGACCAGCUGUGUGACCUUGAAGAGGUGACCUCACCUCUCUGAACCUCCAUUUUCGUAUCCUUAACCUUCACAUGGCCGUGGGUUGGAUUCAGCCAGAGAGGCAGGGAAGCAUUGUGGUUAGAGCUGGAAUCUGACUCCUCCACUCACCCCUGGGGACAGUUACUUCACUUGCAGUGCUCCGGCGUCCUCAUCUGUCCAAUGGGGAGGACAACAUGCUUUCCUCCUACGGCUCCUUGAGGCUUAACUGUGUUAACGCACAGUCACGCAUCGCUUAACGAUGCCAAGUCAUUCCCACCUUAAAAACACACAAUUCUCUUGACCCACCUCCGCCUCCACCUCCAGCCCCAUCCUAGGCCCUUUCUCCCCCUUCAGGCGUAAAAUUCUUGAAAGAAUGAACUUUCUCCGUUUCCUUACCUCCACUUAUUCCUUACCCUGCUCCGCUAUAGGUCCUGCCCCCUUGGCCUCUCAAUGGUUCCUUUAGGGCAGCCUUCUCAACCUUGGCUCCAUGUGUUGUGCGUGCAUGGAUGCGUGUGUGUGUGUGUGCUACGCAUGCACACAUGUAUUUUAAAGCAGCAGAUAAUUUAAAACAAAGCAAAACAAGGAACCUGGGCCCGGGCCCACCUCCAAGGAUUAUGAUUUAAUUGACCUGGGGUGGGCCCAGCGUGGAUAACUUUCCAGAGCUUCCCGGAGGCUCCUAAUGGGUAGCUGGGUUGCGAACCCCUGCCCCAGGGGUCCCAGCAUCCUGUGGCCUUAGCCCCAGGGACAUGUUUCUGCUCUCCUACCCUCCACCUCUGGCAGAAACCGACCGUAUUCGUUUCCUGUAGCUGCCGAAACAAAAUACCACACAUCAGGUGACUUAAACCAGAACCAUUUUCUCACAGUUCUGGAGGCUGGAAGUCCAAGAUCAAGGUGUCGGCAGGGCCACAUUCUGAGAACUGCGUCAUUAGGCCAUUUCAUCACUGUGCAAACAUCACAGAGUGCACUUACACCAACCUAGAUGGCGGAGCCUACUACACACCCAGGCUCCAUGGUCCCGACCUUACGGCACCGCCAUCACCUACGUGGUCCAUCAUUGCCAGGAACGUUAUGUGGCACGUGACUGUAGUGUGCUUAGACCAGUGCUUGACGUGUAGUAAAUACUAAAGCCUCAACUCAGAAUCCUUCAUUCACCAAACUGUCGCGGCCCUGCUGGCGGUAGGAAUGCAGAGGUAAGACAAAGGGACACAGUCCCCCUCCUGUGACGCCUACAGUCCAGAAAGGGAGACAUGAAGUGUCACAUUGAUAAAUGUACAAUCACGAGCCAAGACAAUCCCUCAGGAUGUGCACACACGGUCCUGAGAGAGGUAACAAACAAAAGGACUGACCCAGCCAGCGGGCCAACAGUGGCUUCCCGAGAAAGCAGAGCUCGAGCUGAGAUCGGAAGGAUGGAGAGGGGCCAAGUGGGCAGAGGUGAGGCGGAGGCAGGAAGGACAUCCCAGGCAGAGGGAGCAGCGUGUGCAAAGGUCGUGUGGUGGGAGAGGACGUGCGUGUGAGGAACUGAAGCACGGGUUCAGAGAAGGGAGGGCCGUGUGGGCCUCGAGGAGCAGGUGGGUUUUCUCCUGAGCAUGCAGAGAAGCCACGACGAGGUGUGAAGCUGAAGAGGACGACUCGCAGUGAGACCAGAGAGGCUCCUGCGGGCAAGUUUAGGAGAGGUGACAGUGCCUCGGACCAGGGUGGCGAGGCGGAUGUGGAAAAGCAGGUGGACAGGAGCGUCUAGGAUGAAGCUUCAGGCUGGACCCGAGUGGACAGUGAUUCCCACGCUGAGUCAGAGAACUCGGGAAGAAGACCCAGUGCAAAGGGCAUCAGGAGGGGUGGGGUGCAGGGAGAGGCACGAGCAGUUACACAGGGAUGCCUGUGAGACCUCCAAACGGAAAGGGAGGGAGCCAAUGGACAUGAGGGUUUGGAGCUCUCAGGGAGACUGAGGCUGGAGAUGUAGCAAGAACAUGGAUGACUGAGGCUGUGGUCUCGAGUGAGCUCACCCAGGAGGGCAUGUCGAGGAAAGGGCCUGGGACAAAGCCUUGAUGAGCGCCAGCACCCCAUGGCCUUACAGAGGAGAGGGAGCCCUGGGAAGAGUUGCCAGAGAGGCGGGAAGGAAACUGGAGCGUGUGGCGCGCAGAAGGCAAGGGGCCACCAGGUUUCAAGGAGGAGUGGCCCCCCGCGAGGUGUAGGCUGAAUGGUAGCCCCCCAAAGACGUCUAUGUCCCAAUCCCCAGAACCUGAAUUACCUUAGGAGGCAAAAGACGUGAUUAAGAAUCUCGAGAAGAGUUUAUCCGGAUUAGCUGGGUGGGCCCUGCAUGCAAUCUCCUGCCUCCUUAUGAGGAGGGCAGGCUGUUUGAAACCCACACACACAAGAGGAAGCAGCAACGGGACAGGAGGCAGACUGGAGCGAUGCUGCCAAGGAACGCCCAGAGUCCCGAGAAGCUGGAAGUGGCACCGAGUCGAUUCUCCCCCAGAACCGUGGACUUGAGCCUUCAGAACCGACAGAAAAUAAGUUUGUUGUUUUAAGCUGCUCAGGGUGUGGUCAUUUGUUACAGCAGCUACAGGAAACAAAUACCGUUGGUUCCUGCCAGGGGUGGAGGAGGAGGAGAGCAGAAACGUCCCUGGGGCUAAGGCCGCUGGGCACGGGGACCCCGGGAGGAGUUCUCCACCCAGAGGCCCAUCAGGAGGCCUGGGGAAGCUUCACAAAGUUACCCAUGCUUGGGUUCACCCCAGAUCAAUUAAAUCACAAUCCUUGGAGGUGGGCCUGGGGACAUGUUUUUUUGUGGUGUUUGUUUUUUGGGGUUUUUUUUGAGGAAGAUUAGCCUUGAGCUAACAUCUGCUGCCAAUUCUCCUCUUUUUGCUGAGGAAGACUGGCCCUGAGCUAACAUCCAUGCCCAUCUUCCUCUACUUUAUACGUGGGACGCCUACCACAGCAUGGCUUGCCAAGCGGAGCCAUGUCUGCACACGGGAUCCAAACUGGUGAACCCUGGGCCGCCGAAGUGGAACGUGCGCACUUAACUGCUGCGCCACCAGCCAGCCCAUUUGUUUUUUAAAUAAUCCACUUUAAAAAUAAAAACAGGGGGCCAAGUUGAGAACCACUGCCCUAGAAUCAUUCCAGAGGCCGGAGGGGACAGAACCCACACUGGAGCAGGGUAAGAAAACGGAGCCAGUUCAGACCACUCUUUCAAGAAUUUCACCCCUGAACGCGGAGAAGGAACCUGGGAUGGGGCUGGAGGUGGGUGUGGGUCAAGAGAGCUGUGUCUCAAGGUGGGAAUGACUUGAGCACGUUUAAACGUCGAUGGGGAAGACGGAAGCUGGGUGAAGAGCUGCGUGACGUCACUGAGCAGCCAGGAGAAGUCAGAAGGUGAAAAUCAAGCCUGGCGGCAGAGCCUCGGAGUAGGAAAGUCAGGCAAUGAAUCGGGGCGGUUGUCUCUGCUGCCCUGCCCUGCCCCCUGCAACUCGGUGGGCCUCCAUGGCUCCUCCUGGCCAAAGCAUUUAGAUGCCAAUGCCAGACUCCCCAGAGCCCUCUCUCCACUCUGGCACAGCGACUGGCAAUGUUCAGGAUGGUGUCACCCAUCUGACUGGGUCCCCGAAUGACUGAGGAAGAGAAACCCCACUGAAGGCCUGUGAUGGGCACACGGUGUGAGGAAACGACGCCUACCUCAGCUGUUUGAGGCCCUGCGGAUCUGGGAAUGUUGGCUACCGCAGCGCACCGCAGCCUAUCCCGCCGACAACAAGCAAACACACCUCUCUGAACUCAUAGUUAUAGAUCAUGCUGGGAAAAUGCACCAAGUGUCAUGAGAAAAAGAAAACAUCCACAGAAGGGGGGCGAUUUAGAAAGUGUGUCCAGAAAAGAUCACUUUGAGAAGGAGACAAAUAGAGGAAGAGUUAGUGUCAGGGAGAAGGAAGGAGGGAGAGAGAAUGGUUCCAGGCAGAGGGAGCUGCACGUGCUAAGUGUCUGGAUCAGGGAGCUGUGAGGGAAACGGCUCGAGCGCAGAGAAUGAGGUUGGUGGCGAGAGAUGAGGCCAGAGAGAAAGUCAGGGAGAUCUCACGGGUCACACUUAAGGAAUCCACUAGAGUUUUAAAAUGGGGAGUCACCUUUUAAAAGCUUUUUCUGGCUGCUGUGUGGAGAAUGGGUUGGAGGGAAGCCAGAGCAGAAGGCAGAGAGCUGAGGCGGCGGUGCAGAGGGAGACAAGGGUGACAGGGAGGCACAGUGGCGCCAGACACGGUAGGUGCUCAGUACAACGAGCUCAGCGGUGUGUGGCGCACCUGGGCAGACGGCAAGCACCUAGGACAGUGCCUGGCACAGCAAAAGUGCUCAGUAGGUGUUGAAUGACCAAGUGUUGGUUUCCUCCUCUCCCUGUUAGCCGUCAGCAGUGCUGCGUCCUCUCCCUGCUCUGAGGAAGGGGCUGACCUACCCCCUCGGGCCUCGCAGAGAACCUGGUCAAGGCAGAGUAGCCAGGGUUUCUUGACCAGCCCCCAUAACCUGGGCACCGCACUCAGAACCUGGAUGAGCCAUGGGGGCCCACUUUCAGGCAGAUGUCCCCUCCCCUUCUCCGCCCUGCUCUUGGCAAUGAGCUGGGCAGUGCUCUCAUGCCCCUGUGGCCUCGCUGCAGACUUUUGGGGCGAGGUCAGAAGACAGAGCAGCCCCAGGGCUGACAAAUUGUUUCAGCCACACCUCCUCCAGGAAGUCCUCUGUGGUCAGCCACCGGGGCUCCUGUAGCUCCGAGGUGCAGAGCUGAAGGGGCCCGCAGUCCCUUGGGGCCUCCUGCUGACUCAGGGCCUGACUGAGCUCUCAGCUGCCGCUGCUGUGAGCUUCCCCAGAGGUUUCAGGAAGGCAAGGUGAGUCUUCACCAAGGGGGACAUCCUGCGUGGCAACAGCCUAGGAACUCAGCACAGUUAUCCAUUUUAUAGAAGACUGAGGCUCGGAGAGAUGAAGGAACUUGCCCUAGAGCCCGGUCAGUAAGCUGUUUGACCCUAAAGCCAGAGGCCACAAUCGCACGCGAUACACUCCCUUCCUCCUGCACAUCAGUGCUGAGUCAGUGCUGCUCAAAUCUAAGCAGACUGAUGAGUAAACAGGUGGAGGAUGUUGAUGGAUGGCAGCUAGCAUUGGCGGGCCCCCUGCCCCCGGCCAGGCCUGCACUUGGUGUUUUACGUGGGGUGAAUACGAGUAUGAUUCCCAUUUUACAGCCGGGAAAUUGAGGCACAGAGCAGUUAAGUAACUCACUCAAGCGCCCCCCAGCUGAAAAGUGGGCCCAGUCAGCCUGGCCCCAACUAGUUUCAGUUCCUUGCUGUUCUCCUUCCGUGGUCACAAGGACACCAGAGGUUCUUUCUUUCUCCAUCCUGCUGCUCUGGGGCCUCAGAGCCCUAGGGGAUGCGGGUGAGCCUGCCCAACACUCGGGUCGGUACAGACUCAAACUUCACUCCUUCCCAAAGCCAGGCCCCGGGCCUACCCUCCCCUGCCCCAGGGGCACCCCCUAGGACAACUGGGCAAGUGGACAAGUUUCUCCCAGCUCACAGGGCCCCUUCCUGCCCGAGCCAAGCCCACCCUGAGGCCGGAUGUGGAAUCAGGAGGCUGGCUGGCCCCCCCGCCUCACUGUGUGACCACAGACACCCCACUUCCAUCACCCACUGCAGCCCGGGGGAGGGAAUGUACACACCUGAGGGCCUGCUGCUUGCCAGCCAGUCAGCACAUCGAUUCCCCCGGGACCCCAGGACCUUGGUUUUAUCAGCCUAUUUCACAGAGAAGGGAGCUGGGGUUCAGGGAAUUGUCCACCUGAGCUCUCAGCUGCUAAGAGCCAGGAAGGGAUCCAGUCUCAGUCCAUCUGAAGCCCAAGGCCACCCUGAUUCUAACUCCUGCCCCCACACCCACCCCAAAGCGCAGUGGCAAAUCAGCAAAGUUAACAGCUUCGACUUGAGUUUUAGGGAGAUCUGGGUUCACAUCAAGCUCUGCAAGCUCUGCUGCUUUCCGGCUGUGUGACUGGCAAGUUCCUUCCCCUCUCUGAGCCUCAGUUUCUUCAUAUGUAAAUGAAGAUGAUAGGACCCACUUCAGAGGACGGUUGUGAGCAGUGAGGGAGUUAAUAUAUGCAAAGCAAUCAGAACAGCACCUGAUUCGGAGCAAACAUUCAAACAUGAGAAAGAAGCAAGUACACUGGGACUUAGCUCCCACUCGCCUCUGCAUCAGGAAGGGGCAGUUUUGAGACCCUGCGGUUCUGACCCGAGCCAGCUCACUCGCCAGUCCACAGCUUCGAGGCUCUCAGCUUUUGAGCAGCCUUGGGCAGGUCACUUCGCUUCUCCAGCUCAGUUCCCUCAUCUGUAGAUGAGAUGAAGACAUCUGCCUUGUUGAGCUGUCCAGAGGAAUCCGUGAGAUAAGUCACGGAAGGUGCCUGGUACCCACAAACACUCAGAUGACAGCCACUGUUAGUACUGUUACAAUAACAGGCACGCGACAAGCACUGCCCUCCGUGACAAAGAACUCCUGAUGCCUGCGGAGUUUUCCAGCCUUCCCUCCUGUGGAAACACGCUGAUAAGGGCCAUCCCUCUGUCCCUCUUUGUGCUUCCUCCAAGGCCCAACAGGUGCUCAGGAAGCAUUUGAUGGAAUGACACAAUCAAACCAGGUAGGCAGCUGCCUAGGGGCUUGCUACUCCAAGCGUGGUCCAUGAACCAGCAGCAUCAGCAUCCUCUGGGAGCUUGUUAGAAGUGCAGCAUCUUAGGCCCCACCCAGACCUCCUGACUCACAGUGUGAACAGUAACAGAAGUCAGGUGAUUUGAGUACACAUAAGGUCCGGAAAGCACGGCCCCGCUCUGCCUUCUUAAAGCUGGCCAGGUCCUGGGCCUCACCUGGUGGUCAGUAUGAGAAGCCAGAGAGCCCAGCAGAGGCUCCUGUCCCAGAGGCCUGCACCUGGGGCUCUGGCAUCUCCACGGCCCCAAAGGCUUCUGCAGAGGCAGUUCAGGGAAGCUGGUUAGGGGCACGGCAUUUCUGAAGCCAGCCUCCCUGGGCUCAGCUGGGCCACUUCCUAGCUGUGAUCUUGGGUCUAGUUAACCUCUCUGUGCCUCUGUUUCUUCAUCUAUAAAAUGAGAUGACAUCAGUUACCUUGCAGAGUCACUGCUAGGAUCAAGUGAAUUAAUGCAGGUAACGUGUUCAGAAUGGUGCCUGGCACAGAGCAAUAACUCGGUAAGCCCCAGCUAUCAAUACUAAUAUCCUCAUUAUUAUCUGCUCCACCCACGGGAGGGCAAGGAGCUGGCUCUGGUUACAGGGGCUCCGAGAUUCAUGCUCCUUCUGGCUUCCCCUACCAGCUCAGGCACGUUCCUGCCUCAUGAUAAUAUAAAAGUUAUCACACCUCACGUGCACAGCGGGUAUCCUGGCAAGCAUCAACCAUAACUUCCAGACCCUCCCACAAGCAGGUGGGGCUCAUUUCCCAGGGGUGGGAGCUGAGGCCCAGAGAGCAGAAGCAUCUGCCACCUUGAGUCAGAGGAGAAGAUUGGGUGAAGCCAAAAAAAUGGGGAUAAUAGUCCCUCCCUCGUGGGGCUAUUAUAAACGUGUUGCAAGGAUCAAAUUGGCGUAUACAGCAAGUUCUACAGAAGUGUUGCUUUUUACCUUCAUAACUCCCAUUUCAUUCCCAAUCAAGGGGCUUUGUCUGCUGUCUUAGGAUUCAUAUCAGGGUAAGAUGCUUCCCCAGCCCAAAGGCAGAGAGAAUUCAAAAGCAUUAAAAAAAAAAAAAAGCCUUCAAAGCGAAGAGGCACUAAUGUCCGGGCACGGGGCAUCCAGACGGGGUGUGGAGGAGGCAUGAGGUCGGGGCAGGAGUGCUGCCCUCACACUUGAAACAUCUGGCAGGGAGUAGCUGAACAUCUGCCCUGUGGUGGGGGCAUCAGCAGUGGGGGCCAGGGCUUACUCCACAGAGCGUCCCCUCUCUUCCCCUCCAACUCACACACAGGCUUGUCACCAACACUUUGUAGUAGCCAUCAUCAUCCCUCACAUCUGUCUCUCGGAGAGGGAAGCUGAGGCCGACUGAAGCUCACUCCUUCCCAAGCCCCCCAGCUGUCUCAAACCCCACUAGCUGAUUCACUCUGCUGGGUGGAUUCCUGGGUCCCCCCCCUCCCUGGGCUGAAUCCCAGUGCUCCCAAGCUCGCCAAGUGGGCCCGGACCCUCCCUGACCGCACCAUUCCCAAGGCACCACAGCUGGUGGGAGGAGGGACAGGAAGUUAUCCCCCAGAGCCAGCAGCUGUGGCUUAGCCCCAAGUGAACUCUACCAGGGCCCAGGGCCC